GAUGAACGCUGGCGGCGUGCCUAAUACAUGCAAGUCGAGCGAACGGACGAGAAGCUUGCUUCUCUGAUGUUAGCGGCGGACGGGUGAGUAACACGUGGAUAACCUACCUAUAAGACUGGGAUAACUUCGGGAAACCGGAGCUAAUACCGGAUAAUAUUUUGAACCGCAUGGUUCAAAAGUGAAAGACGGUCUUGCUGUCACUUAUAGAUGGAUCCGCGCUGCAUUAGCUAGUUGGUAAGGUAACGGCUUACCAAGGCAACGAUGCAUAGCCGACCUGAGAGGGUGAUCGGCCACACUGGAACUGAGACACGUUCCAGACUCCUACGGGAGGCAGCAGUAGGGAAUCUUCCGCAAUGGGCGAAAGCCUGACGGAGCAACGCCGCGUGAGUGAUGAAGGUCCUCGGAUCGUAAAACUCUGUUAUUAGGGAAGAACAUAUGUGUAAGUAACUGUGCACAUCUUGACGGUACCUAAUCAGAAAGCCACGGCUAACUACGUG
rnacentral:rRNA from 1 species